rfam:Selaginella moellendorffii unplaced genomic scaffold SELMOscaffold_19, whole genome shotgun sequence.
GGCCGCGUAGCGUAGUGGAUCAGUGCGUCAGACUUCGAAUCUGAAGGCUGUGGGUUCGAAUUCCACCCUGGUCG